CUUCGCUUUACCUCACAUUCUCUUUGUUCUUCUUGAAACUUUGCUGCUAGUGAGCGCUAGCUCCUUGGUCCAUCGCCGGUGCAAUACUUGUUUUCCGCCCAAUUUUCCUCCAGCCGACUAACACCAGCAAAGAGGUUGUUGGUGAAGAAGAUUGACAAGCAACAUUAUGCACCAAUUUAUGGAGUUCGUGUACAUUUGCACGUGUUUACAUAUAUGAAGAAAUUAGUUUUGAAAAUGUAGGCGGAAUUUGAUUUUUUAGUCGUUCAUUUUUCGUAUUCUUUAAUUUUCAAAUUACUUAAAAGUAAUUCUUCAUAUAUAUUUUUCACGUGUAUAAUUUUUUCAUCAAAUUUUAUGGAAAAAAGUUGAAUGUG